GACGGAGGAGGCAAGCGUUAUCCGGAAUUAUUGGGCGUAAAGCGUCCGCAGGCGGCGAUUCAAGUCUGCUGUCAAAGGUCGGGGCUUAACCCCGGGAAGGCAGUGGAAACUGAAUAGCUAGAGUGCGGUAGGGGCAGAGGGAAUUCCCGGUGUAGCGGUGAAAUGCGUAGAGAUCGGGAAGAACACCAGUGGCGAAAGUGCUCUGCUGGGCCUGCACUGACACUGAGGGAAGAAAGCUAGGGGAGCGAAAGG
rnacentral:rRNA from 1 species